rnacentral:rRNA from 1 species
CUCCUACGGGAGGCAGCAGUGGGGAAUCUUGCGCAAUGCGCGAAAGCGUGACGCAGCAACGCCGCGUGGGGGAAGAAGGCUUUCGGGUUGUAAACCCCUUUCAGUUGGGACGAAGCUUCUCCGGUGAAUAGCCGGACGGAGUGACGGUACCUUCACAAGAAGCACCGGCUAACUACGUGCCAGCUGCCGCGGUAAUUC